ensembl:lncRNA
CACCAUCUCGCUCUCUCUAACACCAUCUCUCUCUCUGUCUUCAUCACCAUCUCUCUCUCUCUGUCUUCAUCACCAUCUCUCUCUCUGUCUUCAUCACCAUCUCUAUCUCUCUCUCUGUCUUCAACACCAUCUCUCUCCCUCUCUGUCUUCAACACCAUCUCUCUCUCUGUCUUCAUCACCAUCUCUCUCUCUCUGUCUUCAACACCAUCUCUCUCUCUCUGUCUUCAACACCAUCUCUCUCUCUCUGUCUUCAUCACCAUCUCUCUCUCUGUCUUCAUCACCAUCUCUCUCUCUCUGUCUUCAUCACCAUCUCUCUCUGUCUUCAUCACCAUCUCUCUCUCUCUCUCUGUCUUCAUCACCAUCUCUCUCUCUCUCUCUCUCUCUGUCUUCAUCACCAUCUCGCUCUCUCUCUGUCUUCAUAACCAUCUCUCUCUCUCUUUGUCUUCAUCACCAUCUCUCUCUCUCUGUCUUCAUCACCAUCUAUCUCUCUCUCUCUCUCUCUCUCUCUCUCUCUCUCUCUGUCUUCAUCACCAUCUCUCUCUCUCUCUCUCUCUGUCUUCAUCACCAUCUCUCUCUCUCUCUGUCUUCAUCACCAUCUCUCUCUCUCUCUCUGUCUUCAUCACCAUCUCUCUCUCUCUCUCUCUCUCGCUCUCUCUGUCUUCAUCUCUCUCUCUCUCUCUCUCUCUCUCUCUCUCUCUCUCUCUUCAUCACCAUCUCUCUCUCUCUCUCUCCAUCACCAUCUCUCUCUCUCUGUCUUCAUCACCAUCUCUCUCAGUCUUCAACACCAUCUCUCUCUCUGUCUUCAACGCCAUCUCUCUCUCUCUCUCUGUCUUCGUCACCAUCUCUCUCCGACUUCAACACCAUCUCUCUCUGUCUUCAACACCAUCUCUCUCUCUCUCUCUGUCUUCAUCACCAUCUCUCUCUCUCUCUCUGUCUUCAUCACCAUCUCUCUCUCUGUCUUCAUCACCAUCUAUCUCUCUCUGUCUUCAUCACCAUCUCUCUCUCUGUCUUCAUCACCAUCUCUCUCUGUCUUCAACACCAUCUCUCUCUCUCUGUCUUCAUCACCAUCUCUCUCUCUCUGUCUUGAUCACCCUCUCUCUCUGUCUUCAUCACCAUCUCUCUCUCUCUGUCUUGAUCACCAUCUCUCUCUGUCUUCAUCACCAUCUCUCUCUGUCUUCAUCACCAUCUCUCUCUCUCUGUCUUCAUCACCAUCUCUCUCUCUCUGUCUUCAACACCAUCUCUCUCUCUUUGUCUUCAUCACCAUCUCUCUCUCUCUUUGUCUUCAUCACCAUCUCUCUCUCUCUCUGUCUUCAACAUCAUCUCUCUCUCUCGCUGUCUUCAACACCAUCUCUCUCUCUCUCUCUGUCUUCAUCACCAUCUCUCUCUCUCUCUGUCUUCAUCACCAUCUCUCUCUCUGUCUUCAUCACCAUCUCUCUCUCUCUCUGUCUUCAUCACCAUCUCUCUUUCUCUCUGACUUCAACACCAUCUCUCUCUCUCAAUUCAAUUCAAUUCAAUUCAAUUCAAGGGCUUUAUUGGCAUGGGAAACGUGUUAACAUUGCCAAAGCAAGUGAGGUAGACAACAUACAAAGUGAAUAUAUAAAGUGA